GGAUGGAGCGCGCCUUGGCCCGCUGGCCGUGGCUGCAGCUCCUCGGGAGAACCGGGGCGCCCACGCGAGAAUCUCCCCACCUGGGUCUGUCUUCAGGGAUGAUGUCAUCUGUUCACCUCCUUGUCUUCAAGGACCACCUCUCCAAGCCAAGCUGUUGCCAAGGUGCUUGCUGCUCAUCUCCACCUUAUGAAGACACUAGGAGCACCGAUUCGUGGAUCCCACCAGCAUACACAGCAGCCACGGGCAGAGACCCCCAGGACCAGGAUGACGAAGGAUGAAGAGGACCAGAACUGACAAGCCAGCUGUCCCUCUUGGCUAAAGGCUUAAACCAGUGCCCUAGUGAGGGGGCAUUGGCCGCUAACCCCUGACCUUUGCUAUGCUUGUGCUUGGUCUCUGUAAAUACUUUCCCAUAAGUCCUUGCUGCGUUAAUGUGCCAGCGACCUGGAGUGCUUCCCUCAGGAAGGUGUCAGUCUUUCUGAACUGACCCUGCUGUUGCCCUUAUGACGUCCUGAAUGGAAGGAUCCCUUUGGGAACUUUUCAGGAGGGGGACCUGGGCCAGAGGCUCUAGCAGCAUCUCACUGGCAAUUCCAAGGCCCAGGGUGGGCUUCUGGAAUGAGCAUGAGCCCUGAUGUCAUGCUACUGAACUGCCAAGGGCAUGCCCACGUCUUUUGAGAUCUCCCCGUCCUUUCUGGGAAAUGGGGAUGAGACGAGCGACCUCCCAGGGCUGUUGUGAGUCUUGAAUGAGAGAAGGCAGCCUUGAGCAGGGCUGGGCAUAGAGGAGGUGGUUGGCAAAUGUUUGUUGAAAAAGUUUGGCAGGUGAGUCCGUUCCCACCCCUCUCACUUGUCUGACUUAUUCUCCUACAGCACUCUGGACAGCCCCUGUCUGCUGGGCUCUCUGUGCACCAGGUUGGCCCCAUCCUUGGCACACUGGCUGCAACCUGGCUGGGUCGGCUGAAGAACCGGAUAGAAGAGGCAGAAGAGCCCCCGGAGGACCACUGCCCCGGACUACCUCCUCGACGGCUGCCUGGCGUCUCAUGCCCAGCCCUGCGCCUCUCGCCUCCUCCCUGGUUUGGGCUGAAGCCGUCAUCUGGAAUCUUCCGUGGGAAGGGACCUCGGACAUGGGAUCCCAGCACCCUCCAGCUUUAAAAUCGGCAGACUAGGAUGGAAGUGCCCUUGUGAGCUCGGGGGCCCUUCAAAGGGCCAAGGAAAAGCGCGGGCCAAGGGACCAGCCUCUCAAAUGGGCUUCGAGCUCCAAUGACCUUCGCUCACCCCCUUGAAGUGUCUGGAAAACAGAAUGGGCAGAUUUUCUGUCUUCAAAGUUUCCGGCUAAACCUCUUCAAGUUCUUUAUUGUUUGGGACUGAGACACUCAGCAAUGGUAAUGGGUCGUUUCUUUUGUAUUGGCCUUGAAAGGCCAAAAUAUUUUUAUAUUGCUACAGACAAAGCCGUCUAUUUAAAAAUGAACUCCGUGUCCGUCGUUUCCCACCGGGGGACCGUGUACAACGUGUGUGUCUCUAUGUACUUGAGGGUCUUGAAACAGGUUUCUCAUGGGGAUGGCCAUUCACAGGGGUCCAUGGGUGUCUGCCUUGCCCAGGGGGCUAGGGGAUCUGGCCCUAAUGGCAGGUCUGCCCCCCAUUUGUCUGGGAUGUGAGCCCCACAGGGUCUAGCUGCACUGACAUUAACUCUGCCUGUGCCUGCAUCCAUCACGCGUAUGUGUGUAAGGACUGUGGGUGUGCACACCUUGGUGAGAGGAAGCAGGAAGGUCUAAGAUAUUGUGAAUGUUCUCUGUUUCUUGUUGGGAGGUCAUUUCACUGAUAUCUGUUGCGUGAUCCACCUAGUGAAUGGAUGAAUGAGUGAAUGAAUGAAUGAAAGCACAGGGGAAUGAAUAAACAAAUAAAUAGGUAAAUAGGUAAAAUAAAUACGCAAACCAGGAUGAGAGUGUACACUGAACAAGAUCCAAUUUGCUGUAUAGAUCAACAUGUAAAUCAAUAAAAUAUGGAAUCGAUAUGUAAAUAGGGCCACACAGGAACCAAUGUCAGAUCAUCAUGGAUGAAGGAAUAUGUGUAAUUCAAAUAUAUAGCACUUAAAGUUUGUCAAUCAAAGAAUAAAACCUAAGUAAAAGAAAGAAUGAAUAAAAAGUGGAAAUGCGUGAACUCAUGGUGACAAUACUGUAUUGUAUACUUAAAAAUCUGCUAAGAGGGCAGUUCUUACGUUAAGUGAUCUUAUCAUAAAUGGUAGUAAUAAUAAUAAGAAAUAAGAGUGGGAGGAAACUUCUGGAAGCUAUGGACAGGUGUAUGACAUGGAUUGUGGUGAUGGUUUCACGGUAUAAACUUAUCUCCAAACUCAUCGAGUUGUGUGCAUUAAUUAUGUACAGGUUUUUGUAUGUCAAAAAAAAUUAAAAAAAUAAAGAGAAAGUAACUGUGGAAAAACCCCACAAACCAAUGGUGAGGAUGAGAUUAUGAGGCACGUUGAAAUGAACAGACACAGGAGAGAGGGGUCAAGUGAUUGAAAGGGGGAGGCAAGAAACAAAGUCAUAAAUAAAAGGGAGAAAGAUGAUUUUUUUUAAAUUAGGGGAUGAGUAAAUAUAUAAGGAAGGCCACACUGGGUUAUCACAGGCUAACCAUUAGGAUUGAUCCAAAUACAUGCUCCUGGCCUAGAAAAAUAGACAAGAGAGAAACAGUUCAGAGUCAAAAACGAAAGAAGACCUAGGGGACCAAAGAUGAGAGUUAACUUUAACCAAAAGCUUUCUAACUCUGGGCAUGCAUUAAUAAAUAAAUACUGACAUGAAAGAAAGCCAAAAGAAAAAAAAAAAAAGAAUGAUAAGUGAGCAGUGGAAAUACCUGGACCCAGGUAGGAGCAUGGCAGGAGCUGAGGUCUGUUAUAUGAAAGGAUAAAAGGAAGAGAAUAAAAUAAAAUAUCUAAAUAAAAAUCAAGAAAUAUGGAAGGAAAAGUAACAAACGUUAAGUCUAGAAAUACACUCCUGGGUGAAUAAAUAAAUAUGUAAAAGAAGGCAAUGGUAGGCGUGGUGGUAAAAGACCGUCAGGAGUCAAGGAUAUGGUCAGUCCAAUUCUAAAACCCACAGAUCAAUAAAUAAUAAGUAUCUAAAUAAACAAGUAAUGAGAAUCUAAAGAAACAAAGACAAGACCCGUGACCGGGGGGGAGGAGCCUGGCCCUCAGGCGCUCCUGAUGGGCAGGCUGGGAGGGUUGUAAUUAAUCCCAUCUGGGCACUGAAGCUCCAAGAGA